rnacentral:misc_RNA from 1 species
ACCCAUCUGUCAAAGGCUGAGAGGAGAGGAAUUGGAGAAGAGGGCAUGAGACAAGAACAGAAUCAAAAGGAAUUAGAGAAGAGGAAAGAGAAAAAUGGCAAGGAGAAGGGAGGGAAAACAGCAAGAAGAACAAGAAGAAGAAAGAAGAACAAGAAGUGAAUGGGGACAAACGGUGUGGCUCACAUGUGAUGGGCUAAGGGCUUUGGGCAGCAGAGCAGAAGUGGGCUUUAUAUUAAACAUGAGUUUCUUGCUAUAAAAAUAGCUAAGUGAGAAAAUUUGUUUGGUUUGGUUAAUUUGGUUUUUUUAAAUUAAGCGACUCAAAACCAAAAUUUUUGAAAAGUAGAAACCAAAACCAAACCAAUCAACCAAAAAACCAAAUAAGGUAGAUUUUCCGUUAAAACUGAUGAAUGGUCACUCCUAUGGGCCACAGGUUUUGACUACACAUUUGACAAUCUUCUACAAACAACAUGUCUACAAAGAAUGAAGUUGUGACAGGGUUUACAUCUUUUACAAAU